GACGCAGGUCUGACGCUCAACGUCAAGUACGUAACUCUGCUUCUCAAUUUUCUGACAAAGCCGCCAUCUUGGUGCUGCAGGAAAGCCGUUUGAGAUAUUGGUGGAAUUCAAACACUUUGUGAGAUGACAGAAUAUUGCUGAAGGAUCCUACAUAAGGCUGGCUGAUUACACGGAGUGAUUCCUCUGGUGUGGUGUACCUCAGAGAAAUAAACACUGUUGCAAGAGCUGAGAAGAUGGCCAAGAUAUCCUUAUUGCUGGAUGGUAGCUCUGGUCGUAGUGGACCAUAUCUGCAAAUGCUUCUGAACAUUGACAGAAUUUCUAAAGAUGACUGAGAAUAUUACUGAAGGAUCCUACAUGGAAGCUGUCUGAUUACACUGAGUGAUUCCUCUGGUGUGGUGUACCUCAGAGAAAAUAAACACUGUUGCAAGAGGUGAGAAGAUAUCCUUAUUGCUGGAUGGUUGCUCUCUGGUCGUACUUGAGCCCCCUGGACCAUGUCUGCAAAUGCUUCUGAACAUUGACAGAAUUUCUAAAGGAUCGCUGAGGACUCCCCCUCCAUGCGUGACAUCUUUGAGAAAUUUCCACGCUUUCUGGAGAUGCCAAGUUUGACUGGAACCAACUUUGCAUCCCUCGGCACUGACACUGAGAAGGUUUCAAGGACCCCACUACUAGGAGGCGAGAGUUUGACACGGCAUUGUCAUCACUGCCAUGGAUGACAACGUAACCAUUCCUGUUGCUGAUUGCCUGACUUGCGCAGUGACAAGCUUUUCAUGCUCUACUGGGUGUGUAACUUGGCAUAUCCACCACAGUUUAACUCUGUUUUUGCCUCUUUUGAAUAUGUGUACGAUAUAACCAUCUCAACCAACACGUGGGCCAAGGUACUGGAACAUUUCUCACUUCAAGUUGCUCUGUAGUCACUGGACAUUUUUUUAAACAUCUACGCAGUCACCACCACUCCACACCAUGUGCAUUUUAAUUACUUCUGAUUCCACUGACAUGCAGACUACAUCCUAUGCAAUUUCAGGUAAUUUACCUGGUACUGGAGAAACAGCAUUGUAUGCCAUUCUAAGUGAUACUUGCCUCGUUGUUUUGCAAAAAUGUACUGUUCUUUGAAUAUAACUUAAAGUAAGAUCAUGUUGACUCUGAGGUUUUCUCCGGUUGUCAAGCACAACCUUAACGUUUUGUAAGUAAGUAAUAGUCACAGGAUAUGCAUGCAUUUGUAAUUUGAAUUUUCGUUGAAAACGGCUCACCAAGCAUAAAAUGUUACCUCUGCUUUUGAUUUUUCUUUUUUUUUUAAAUGUCCCUUAAUACCAGCCUGUCUUUUUGUUGUGUCCACACAACUUUACCAUCAUCAGUGUUGGGAAGGAACAGAUUGCUGUAAGUUACUGUAUCCCCAUCCUUUCAGAUCAGUGCUUUAAAGCCUUUUGAAAUUAAAUUGUUAAUAAACUUUGUGAAAACAAA